AGCGAACGCUGGCGGCAGGCUUAACACAUGCAAGUCGAGCGGGCACUUCGGUGUCAGCGGCAGACGGGUGAGUAACACGUGGGAACGUACCCUUUGGUUCGGAAUAACGCUGGGAAACUAGCGCUAAUACCGGAUACGCCCUUGUGGGGAAAGGCUUGCUGCCGAAGGAUCGGCCCGCGUCUGAUUAGCUAGUUGGUGGGGUAAUGGCCUACCAAGGCGACGAUCAGUAGCUGGUCUGAGAGGAUGAUCAGCCACACUGGGACUGAGACACGGCCCAGACUCCUACGGGAGGCAGCAGUGGGGAAUAUUGGACAAUGGGCGCAAGCCUGAUCCAGCCAUGCCGCGUGAGUGAUGAAGGCCUUAGGGUUGUAAAGCUCUUUUGUCCGGGACGAUAAUGACGGUACCGGAAGAAUAAGCCCCGGCUAACUUCGUG
rnacentral:rRNA from 1 species